rnacentral:rRNA from 1 species
ACUCAAAGGAAUUGACGGGGGCCCGCACAAGCAGCGGAGCGUGUGGUUUAAUUCGAGGCUACACGAAGAACCUUACCUGGGUUGGACAUGCCGGUGGUAGGGCGGCGAAAGCCAACCGACCGCAAGGAGCCGGGACAGGUGCUGCAUGGCUGUCGUCAGCUCGUGUCGUGAGAUGUACGGUUAAGUCCGCAAACGAGCGCAACCCCUGCCCGCAGUUACAGGUGUCUGCGGGGACGGCCUCCGUCAAGGGGGAGGAAGGUGGGGAUGACGUCAAGUCCGCAUGGCCUUCAUAUCCAGGGCGACACACACGCUACAAUGGACGGUACAAUGGGCAGCCAGGCGGCGACGCCGCGCCAAUCCCCAAAGCCGUUCUCAGUUCGGAUUGCAGGCUGCAACCCGCCUGCAUGAAGCUGGAGUUGCUAGUAACCGCGCGGGAGCCGAGUGCGGUGAAUACGUUCCCGGGCCUUGCACACACCGCCCGU